UACGUAGGGGGCUAGCGUUGUCCGGAUUUAUUGGGCGUAAAGAGCUCGUAGGCGGUUCGGUUAGUCGGGUGUGAAAACUUUGGGCUCAACCCAAAGCGUGCACUCGAUACUGCCGUGACUAGAGUUCGGUAGGGGAGUGGGGAAUUCCUGGUGUAGCGGUGAAAUGCGCAGAUAUCAGGAGGAACACCGAUGGCGAAGGCAGGUCUCUGGGCCGAUACUGACGCUGAGGAGCGAAAGCGUGGGGAGCGAACAGG
rnacentral:rRNA from 1 species